rnacentral:lncRNA from 1 species
CUGACUUCGAUUGUCGUAAUUAUUUCUGUGUAACUCAAUUUUUUACACUCCUUGGCCUAUUCAUCCAUACUUAUUACAAAAUUUAUGACUACUGGGAUCUUGAGCGAUGCAAAUCACCUCUUUUUCCUUCAUAUUUCGCUACUCAAGAUCACCAUUCUUUUUGAAUUUACAUAUAUAAUAUAAUUUAUGAAGAGGAGGGAAAAACAAACCUUACUUAAAAGAGAGCAGAAGAUUUAGAUUUUUAGUCUGCGCUACCGACCAAAGAGAUUUCCAAAAAUACUGCUGCA